AUCAACGCUGGCGGCGUGCCUAACACAUGCAAGUCGAGCGAGAAAGGGUAGCAAUACCUGAGUAAAGCGGCGCACGGGUGAGUAACACGUGGGUAAUCUGCCCUGGAGUGGGGAAUAACACCGGGAAACCGGUGCUAAUACCGCAUACGAUCACGAUGUCUGCGGAUGUUGUGAUGAAAGGAGCAAUUCGCUCCAGGAGGAGCCCGCGGCUGAUAGCUAGUUGGUGAGGUAAUGGCUCACCAAGGCAACGAUCAGUAGCCGGUCUCAGAGGAUGAUCAGCCAGACUGGGACUGAGACACGGCCCAGACUCCUACGGGAGGCAGCAGUUAGGAAUUUUGGGCAAUGGGCGCAAGCCUGACCCAGCAACGCCGCGUGGGUGACGAAGGCC
rnacentral:rRNA from 1 species